rnacentral:rRNA from 1 species
CGAAUUCGCCCUUAGAGUUUGAUCCUGGCUCAGGACGAACGCUGGCGGCGUGCUUCACACAUGCUAGUCUAACGAUGAAGCUGGAGCUUGCUCAGGUGGAUUAUUGGCGAACGGGUGAGUAACAAGUGAGCAACCUGCCCUUCACUCUGGGAGAACUGCUGGAAACCGUACCUAGCACCGGAUAUUACGCUCCGAGGCAUCGCGGGGCUUGAAAAGAAUUUAUGUGAAGGAUGGACUCACGGCCUAUCAGCAUGUUGGUGAGGUAAAGGCUCACCAGAGCAACGACGCGGUAGCCGGCCUGACACGGUGACCGGGCACACUGGAACUGAGAUACUGUCCAGACUGCUACGGGAGGUACCCUUGGGGAAUAUUGCACAAUGGGCACAAGCCUGAUGCAUCCACCCCUCGUGAGGGACUAAUGCCUUCGGGUUGUAAACCUCGUUUAGCAUGCAACAAUCCAACGUGACGGAACAUGCUGAACAAGCACCCGCUAACUACGUGCCACGCGGCCGCUGUAAUGCCUAGCGGCGCAAGCGUCGUCUGGAAUAAUUGUGCGUAAAGAGCUCGCAGGC